rnacentral:rRNA from 1 species
AACGGAUCUCUUGGUUCCGGCAUCGAUGAAGAACGCAGCGAAAUGCGAUACGUAAUGUGAAUUGCAAAUUCAGUGAAUCAUCGAGUCUUUGAACGCACAUUGCGCCCCCUGGUAUUCCGGGGGGCAUGCCUGUCCGAGCGUCAUUU